rfam:Oesophagostomum dentatum strain OD-Hann O_dentatum-1.0_Cont36137.1, whole genome shotgun sequence.
UCUGAGGUCCGGCGUAAGCCGGAAUCUCAGA